UGGGGAAUUUUGGACAAUGGGCGCAAGCCUGAUCCAGCCAUGCCGCGUGCGGGAAGAAGGCCUUCGGGUUGUAAACCGCUUUUGUCAGGGAAGAAAUCUUCUGAGUUAAUACCUCGGGAGGAUGACGGUACCUGAAGAAUAAGCACCGGCUAACUACGUGCCAGCAGCCACGGUAAUACGUAGGGUGCAAGCGUUAAUCGGAAUUACUGGGCGUAAAGCGUGCGCAGGCGGUUUUGUAAGACAGAGGUGAAAUCCCCGGGCUCAACCUGGGAACUGCCUUUGUGACUGCAAGGCUUGAGUGCGGCAGAGGGGGAUGGAAUUCCGCGUGUAGCAGUGAAAUGCGUAGAUAUGCGGAGGAACACCGAUGGCGAAGGCAAUCCCCUGGGCCUGCACUGACGCUCAUGCACGAAAGCGUGGGGAGCAAACAGGAUUAGAUAGCCCUGGUAGUCCACGCCCUAAACCGAUGUCAACUGGUUGUUGGGAAGGUUCCUUCUCAGUAACGUAGCUAACGCGUGAAGUUGACCGCCUGGGGAGUACGGCCGCAA
rnacentral:rRNA from 1 species